rnacentral:rRNA from 1 species
CCUACGGGAGGCUGCAGUGGGGAAUAUUGCACAAUGGGGGAAACCCUGAUGCAGCGACGCCGCGUGAGUGAAGAAGUAUUUCGGUAUGUAAAGCUCUAUCAGCAGGGAAGAAAAUGACGGUACCUGAUUAAGAAGCCCCGGCUAACUACGUGCCAGCAGCCGCGGUAAUACGUAGGGGGCAAGCGUUAUCCGGAUGUGCUGGGUGUAAAGGGAGCGUAGACGGCAGCACAAGUCUGGAGUGAAAUGCCGGGGCUUAACCCCGGAACUGCUUUGGAAACUGUGCAGCUAGAGUGCAGGAGAGGUAAGUGGAAUUCCUAGUGUAGCGGUGGAAUGCGUAGAUAUUAGGAGGAACACCAGUGGCGAAGGCGGCUUACUGGACUGUAACUGACGUUGAGGCUCGAAAGCGUGGGGAGCAAACAGGAUUAGAUACCCCUGUAGUC